AAUGAACGUUGGCGGCAUGGAUUAGGCAUGCAAGUCGAACGCCCCGCAAGGGGAGUGGCGCAAGGGUGAGUAAGGCGACGGUAACCAACCCCGGGAAUGGGUAUAGCCGAGGGAAACUUCGGGUAAUCCCCAGCGACGUGAUCGAGCGGCAUCGCUCGGUCACCAAAGCUCCGGCGUCCUGGGACGGGCCGUCGUGGUAU
rnacentral:rRNA from 1 species